CCAAGGAGUCUAACAUGUGCGCGAGUCACUCGGUCUUGAAUAGGCCAGAGAGGCGCAAUGAAAGUAAAGUUGAUUGAGUUACGAUCCUCAUCCACGUCUUCGGACGGUGGGGCGCAGUAACAGCCCGCCAAUUUCGCAUUUUGACGAUAUGGCGGAGUUAUAGCGUACACGUUGGUACCCGAAAGAUGGUGAACUAUGCCUGGGCAAGACGAAGCCAGAGGAAACUCUGGUGGAGGUCUGUAGCGAUUCUGACGUGCAAAUCGAUCGUCCGACCUGGGUAUAGGGGCGAAAGACUAAUCGAACCAUC
rnacentral:rRNA from 1 species